UCGUAACAAGGUCUCCGUUGGUGAACCAGCGGAGGGAUCAUUACUGAGUUAUUAAAACUCCAAACCCUUUGUGAACCUUACUGUCGUUGCCUCGGCGUGAGCUACGGCUACCCUGUAGUUACCCUAUAGCUACCCUGCAGCUACCCUAUAGUUGACCAGUAGCUACCCUGUAGUUACCCUAUAGCUACCCUGCAGCUACCCUAUAGUUGACAUGUAGCUACCCUGUAGCCGGCUUAUGGCCCGCCGAAGGACCGCUAAACUCUUGUUUUUUUACCACUGUUUCUCUGAAUUGUAAACUUAAAUAAGUUAAAACUUUCAACAACGGAUCUCUUGGUUCUGGCAUCGAUGAAGAACGCAGCGAAAUGCGAUAAGUAAUGUGAAUUGCAGAAUUCAGUGAAUCAUCGAAUCUUUGAACGCACAUUGCGCCCAUUAGUAUUCUAGUGGGCAUGCCUAUUCGAGCGUCAUUUCGACCCUUAAGCCCCUGUUGCUUAGCGUUGGGAAUCUACAGCGUAGUUCCUUAAAGUUAGUGGCGGAGUUAGGGUACACUCUCAGCGUAGUAAUCUUUCUCGCUCGUGUGGUGGCCCUGGCUGCUAGCCGUUAAACCCCUAUAUUUUCUAGUGGUUGACCUCGGAU
rnacentral:misc_RNA from 1 species